rnacentral:ncRNA from 1 species
AAAAUAAUAAGCAAACCUGUCGAAAAAUGGGGGCGAAAAGCUAAAGGGCCUAAGGUUAAAGCUACGGCAGCCAGUUGCUAAG